UGUUUGGCUGGUCGCAUACAGUGCUCCGCUUUCAAGUGUUCUUGGUCCGUUACCGGGCCCCGCCCGUGUCUGGACAAGCUCACUAUUUCUUCUAGAAGACUUCAGGGACACGCCAACACCAUCCGGGCCCCGGUCCGACUCCAGGCUGGCCCUCCAGGCCCCUUCAAAAGUACCAAGCAGCGCGGCGCCGUGCUAACCCUAACGUGCCGCGCCUGGGCCUCCAAGAUGCAGCGUCCCGCCCGGCACUCGACACCAACGACAACUGACGCCCAGUCGAUUGCCUCGAAAUGCUCACCUGGCUUGCUGGAAUAAUAUCCUCCGAAUAGAUGCACAGAAGUAUAAUCUGGGCAUUAAGGCUGGCUUUUAACAUCAUGCACACACUAUUUGAUGACUGAAGACCUAAGGUACGACGUGGCAAUACAGUCUACAACAUUAAAAUGCUUCGACCGAAGGUUUGGCAACAGUCUUGAUUAUCUAGGGGACUACUGCCAGCUAAGAUUUUCAAGCGCAGAGGCAAUGCCUAGAAAAUGUUUAGCACAACUCUGAGGCCUUCUAUAAGAAAAUGUUAACUCUCCUCCAUUUUUUGGAAAUGAUUGCUCACUAGAAGGACACAGUGUGCCUUUUCAGUUGACAGCCACAUUUUCACUGUCUUGUUCUUUUUUGUUGUCUGUGCCUACAUGACUCACCUUCUUUCUUGUUGAAUUUAAAUCAACUGGCUCAAUUUUAUGUGGUGAUGUGCGUACAAUAAACACAAAAACAAACGCAAUGAAUGUAAAUGUGGGUCACUUUCUUAAUAAAGUACAGGUAAUCUACUGCACCCCUAUCACUACCGCAGCAACGAGAAAGUUGUGUUGGCAAUGGUGUGGAAACUACCUCAAUUGAACUGAAUUGUGAAUUCACUCAAUUGUGAAUUUUCGGUGAUGUCAAUGGGUGAUUGCUGCUUCUUUUUUACGCAUUAUGUUCAUUUCGUGUUACAGGGUUUUUUUGCAUGUAUAUAUUUUCUUUUGCUUUGUUUUAUCACUUGUUAUAAUUCCCCUCCUGCUUGGGCCAAAGCAUUGGCCUGUGGUAUUUCUAAAUAAAUAAUGAAAAUAACUAA